rnacentral:rRNA from 1 species
AAAGGAAAGGAGAGAAGGGCACAUGAAGGAUGCCUUGGCUCUCGGAGGCGACGAAGGACGUGACAAGCUGCGAUAAGCUGCGGUUGGAGGCAAAUACUCAUCAAGCCGCAGAUCUCCGAAUGGGGCAACCCGGCGCGCGAAGAGUGCGUCACCGGUCUGUGACCGGAGCGAACCCGGGGAACUGAAACAUCUCAGUACCCGGAGGAAGAGAAAACAAUAGUGAUUGCGCAAGUAGUGGCGAGCGAACGCGCAAUAGCCCAAACCGCCGGCGUGGCGACGCGUCUGGCGGGGUUGUAGGACCGCCGGUAAAGUGAUGGAAUACGGUUAGCCGAACACGCUGGAAAGCGUGGCCAAAGCGGGUGACAGCCCCUUAGGCGAAAACUGUGAUUCCGGGCGAGGCGGCACCUGAGUAGCGCGGGACACGAGAAAUCCUGUGUGAAUCUGCGGGGCCCAUCCCGUAAGGCUAAAUACUACCGAGAGACCGAUAGCGAACCAGUACCGUGAGGGAAAGGUGAAAAGAACCUCGAACAGAGGAGUGAAAAAGACCCUGAAAUCAUGUGCCUACAAGCGGUCGGAGCCACUACGUGUGGUGACGGCGUGCCUUUUGCAUAAUGAACCUACGAGUCACCCGCGCCGGCGAGGCUAAGGGCAGUGAUGCCCGGAGCCGAAGCGAAAGCGAGUCGGAACACGGCGCCGUUAGUCGGCGCGGGUGGACGCGAAACCAAGUGAUCUACCCUUGGGCAGGCUGAAGACGGGGUAACACCCGUUGGAGGGCCGAACCGGUAAGCGUUGAAAAGCUUUCGGAUGACCUGAGGGUAGGAGUGAAAGGCCAAUCAAACUUGGAGAUAGCUCGUACUCCCCGAAAUGCAUUUAGGUGCAGCCUCGGGUGUUAUACCGCGGAGGUAGAGCGACUGAUAGGAUGCGAGGGCUUCACCGCCUAUCAAGUCCUGACAAACUCCGAAUGCCGCGGCAUGAAUCCCGGGAGUGAGGGCGCGGGUGCUAAGGUCCGCGUCCGAGAGAGGAACAACUCAGACCAUCGGCUAAGGCCCCCAAAUGCGGGCUAAGUUGAAGACCAUAACGAGGUGGGAUUGCAAGGACAGCUAGGAUGUUGGCUUGGAAGCAGCCAUUCAUUUAAAGAGUGCGUAACAGCUCACUAGUCGAGUGAUCCCGCAUGGAUAAUACGCGGGCAUAAGCCGGCUGCCGAAGCCAUGGAACGGUGGGCUGGACCCACAGUUGGUAGGGGAGCAUUCCGUAGCCCUGUGAAGGUGUGGCGCGAGCCAUGCUGGAGGGAUCGGAAAAGCAAAUGUAGGUAUAAGUAACGAUAAGGAGGGCGCGAAACCCUCCCGCCGAAAGACCAAGGGUUCCUGAUCAACGCUAAUCGGAUCAGGGUAAGUCGGGGCCUAAGGAGCAGCCGCAAGGCGGAUCCGAUGGACAAACGGUAAAAAUUCCGUUACCCCUGUUGCGAGCGAUGUGGUGACGGAGGAGUGGAAAUCCCGCGCACUGACGGAAUAGUGCGUUAAACCGUGUAGCUUUAUGUUCUCCAGGCAAAUCCGGAGGACUUGUGAAUCGGGACAGUACCGCGAGCCCCCGGGCGAGCGGAGAGCGGAUGGAAACAUACUCCCAAGAAAACCCGCUAAGCAUAUCGUAACAGGGCCCGUACCGCAAACCGACACAGGUGGUCGGGUAGAAGAUACCGAGGCGCUCGAGUGAUUCACGGUUAAGGAACUAGGCAAAUUGACCCCGUAACUUCGGGAUAAGGGGUCCCUCCUGUAUGGGAGGGCGCAGAGAAUAGGUCCAGGCAACUGUUUAACAAAAACACAGGGCUGUGCGAAGUUUAAUGAUGAAGCAUACAGCCUGACACCUGCCCGGUGCCGGAAGGUUAAGAGGAGAGGUCAUCGCAAGAGAAGCCUUGAAUUGAAGCCCCGGUAAACGGCGGCCGUAACUAUAACGGUCCUAAGGUAGCGAAAUUCCUUGUCGGGUAAGUUCCGACCUGCACGAAUGGUGUAAUGAUCUGGACACUGUCUCAACCGUGAGCUCGGUGAAAUUGUAGUAUCGGUGAAGAUGCCGAUUACCCGCAACGGGACGGAAAGACCCCGUGAACCUUUACUGCAGCUUAGCAUUGGGACCGGGUGCGCGAUGUGUAGGAUAGUCAGGAGGCUGUGAGACGGUGACGCCAGUCAUCGUGGAGCCGUUGUUGAAAUACUGACCUUUGCGCAUUUGGUUUCUAACUCGCGAUGCGAGGACAUUGCUUGGUGGGUAGUUUGACUGGGGUGGUCGCCUCCAAAAGCGUAACGGAGGCUUCUAAAGGUGCGCUCAGGCCGAUUGGUAACCGGCCGCAGAGUGUAAUGGCACAAGCGCGCUUGACUGGGAGACCGACAAGUCGAUCAGGUAGGAAACUAGAGCAUAGUGAUCCGGUGGUUCCGUAUGGAAGGGCCAUCGCUCAAAGGAUAAAAGGUACUCCGGGGAUAACAGGCUGAUCCCUCCCAAGAGCUCAUAUCGACGGAGUGGUUUGGCACCUCGAUGUCGGCUCGUCACAUCCCGGGGCUGGAGAAGGUCCCAAGGGUUAGGCUGUUCGCCUAUUAAAGUGGCACGCGAGCUGGGUUCAGAACGUCGUGAGACAGUUCGGUCCCUAUCUGUUGUGGGCGCAGGAAAUUUGCGAGGACCCGACACUAGUACGAGAGGACCGUGUUGGACAGACCUCCGGUGUGCCGGUUGUUCCGCCAGGAGCACCGCCGGGUAGCCGCGUCUGGCAAGGAUAAGUGCUGAAAGCAUCUAAGCACGAAGCCCCCCUCAAGAUAAGAUUUCCACACAAGGGUCGUCAGAGACGAUGACGUCGAUAGGUCGCAGGUGCAGGGACGGUGACGUCCACAGCCGAGCGAUACUAAUCACCCGAACCCUUUCCGCA